AUUGAACGCUGGCGGCAGGCCUAACACAUGCAAGUCGAGCGAGUGGCGGACGGGUGAGUAAUGUCUGGGAAUCUGCCCGAUAGAGGGGGAUAACUACUGGCAACGGUGGCUAAUACCGCAUACUAUCGGAUGUACCCAGAUGGGAUUAGCUAGUAGGUGGGGUAACGGCUCAACAAGGCGACGAUCCCUAGCUGGUCUGAGAGGAUGAUCAGCCACACUGGAACUGAGACACGGUCCAGACUCCUACGGGAGGCAGCAGUGGGGAAUAUUGCACAAUGGGCGCAAGCCUGAUGCAGCCAUGCCGCGUGUAUGAAGAAGGCCUUAGGGUUGUAAAGUACUUUCAGCGGGGAGGCGUUACCCGCAGAAGAAGCACCGGCUAACUCCGUGCCAGCAGCCGCGGUAAUAC
rnacentral:rRNA from 1 species